rnacentral:rRNA from 1 species
AGUCGAACGAAGUUUUUCUUUCGGGAGGAACUUAGUGGCGGACGGGUGAGUAACGCGUGGGUAACCUGCCCUGUACAGGGGGACAACAGCUGGAAACGGCUGCUAAUACCGCAUAAGCCCUUAGCACUGCAUGGUGCAUAGGGAAAAGGAGUAAUCCGGUACAGGAUGGACCCGCGUCUGAUUAGCCAGUUGGCAGGGUAACGGCCUACCAAAGCGACGAUCAGUAGCCGAUCUGAGAGGAUGUACGGCCACAUUGGGACUGAGACACGGCCCAGACUCCUACGGGAGGCAGCAGUGGGGAAUAUUGCACAAUGGAGGAAACUCUGAUGCAGCGACGCCGCGUGAGUGAAGAAGUAUUUCGGUAUGUAAAGCUCUAUCAGCAGGGAAGAAAAUGACGGUACCUGACUAAGAAGCACCGGCUAAAUACGUGCCAGCAGCCGCGGUAAUACGUAUGGUGCAAGCGUUAUCCGGAUUUACUGGGUGUAAAGGGAGCGUAGGUGGCAAGGCAAGCCAGAAGUGAAAACCCGGGGCUCAACCGCGGGAUUGCUUUUGGAACUGUCAUGCUAGAGUGCAGGAGGGGUGAGCGGAAUUCCUAGUGUAGCGGUGAAAUGCGUAGAUAUUAGGAGGAACACCGGAGGCGAAGGCGGCUCACUGGACUGUAACUGACACUGAGGCUCGAAAGCGUGGGGAGCAAACAGGAUUAGAUACCCUGGUAGUCCACGCGGUAAACGAUGAAUACUAGAUGUCGGGUAGCAAAGCUAUUCGGUGUCGUCGCAAACGCAAUAAGUAUUCCACCUGGGGAGUACGUUCGCAAGAAUGAAACUCAA